rnacentral:rRNA from 1 species
UACGGAGGGUGCGAGCGUUGUCCGGAAUCAUUGGGCGUAAAGGGCGCGUAGGUGGCCCGGUGAGUCUUUGGUGAAAGCGCGGGGCUCAACCCUGCGUCGGCCAGGGAUACUGCCGCGGCUCGAGCACUGUAGAGGCAGGCGGAAUUCCGGGUGUAGCGGUGGAAUGCGUAGAGAUCCGGAAGAACACCGGUGGCGAAGGCGGCCUGCUGGGCAGUGGCUGACGCUGAGGCGCGACAGCGUGGGGGAGCAAACAGG